rnacentral:rRNA from 1 species
UGCUUCUCUUGAGAGCGGCGGACGGGUGAGUAAUGCCUAGGAAUCUGCCUGGUAGUGGGGGAUAACGUCCGGAAACGGACGCUAAUACCGCAUACGUCCUACGGGAGAAAGCAGGGGACCUUCGGGCCUUGCGCUAUCAGAUGAGCCUAGGUCGGAUUAGCUAGUUGGUGGGGUAAUGGCUCACCAAGGCGACGAUCCGUAACUGGUCUGAGAGGAUGAUCAGUCACACUGGAACUGAGACACGGUCCAGACUCCUACGGGAGGCAGCAGUGGGGAAUAUUGGACAAUGGGCGAAAGCCUGAUCCAGCCAUGCCGCGUGUGUGAAGAAGGUCUUCGGAUUGUAAAGCACUUUAAGUUGGGAGGAAGGGCAGUAAAUUAAUACUUUGCUGUUUUGACGUUACCGACAGAAUAAGCACCGGCUAACUCUGUGCCAGCAGCCGCGGUAAUACAGAGGGUGCAAGCGUUAAUCGGAAUUACUGGGCGUAAAGCGCGCGUAGGUGGUUCGUUAAGUUGGAUGUGAAAUCCCCGGGCUCAACCUGGGAACUGCAUUCAAAACUGACGAGCUAGAGUAUGGUAGAGGGUGGUGGAAUUUCCUGUGUAGCGGUGAAAUGCGUAGAUAUAGGAAGGAACACCAGUGGCGAAAGCGACCACCUGGACUGAUACUGACACUGAGGUGCGAAAGCGUGGGGAGCA